UCUCUCUCUCUGAAUUUCGUCGCCAACAUCCGAUUCUCGUGGAGGAACAGAGCCCUAGACGACUCGGUUCAUGCGGAUCAUAAUUCCAAAUGCUCUGAAUCAAAACCAUAUGAAUUCUUUGCGUUUCGCGAGGGGCUUCGUCAUCAACUAUUUGAAUUCCCUUGCUACCGUUCAUGUCAUAUCUGCCAGCUAUGGCUCUGAGCUGCAGUUCUUCUUAUAUUAUAUGAGGCUUUAAUAGUAGAUCUUAAAGAGUUUUUUCGAGGUGGUAUCAGUGAGAGGGUGGCUUUGAUCAAUUUUUGCAUAUCGUUGAAUAAGUAAAUUUUGUCUGUGUCUAUCCAUGUGACUAGGCUAAUUGACUAUGGCACAAUUUUUAAUUUUUUAAGUUCCUGGGAUGAUUAUGUUGUUUGCAAGAUUUGCAUAUCUCAUACAGGAUGUAUUUGUACAUUUCUGCUUAUCAUGCAUAUAAUGGAUGUGAGUGGUUAGGUAA